rnacentral:rRNA from 1 species
UACGUAGGUGGCAAGCGUUGUCCGGAAUUACUGGGCGUAAAGGGCUGGUAGGCGGCCAACUAAGUCGGACGUGAAAUCCCCAGGCUCAACCUGGGAACUGCGUCCGAUACUGGAUGGCUUGAAUUCGGGAGAGGGAUGCAGAAUUCCAGGUGUAGCGGUGAAAUGCGUAGAUAUCUGGAGGAAUACCGGUGGCGAAGGCGGCAUCCUGGACCGAGAUUGACGCUGAACAGCGAAAGCUAGGGGAGCAAACGGG